rnacentral:rRNA from 1 species
UUAAGCGACUAAGCGUACACGGUGGAUGCCCUGGCAGUCAGAGGCGAUGAAGGACGUGCUAAUCUGCGAUAAGCGUCGGUAAGGUGAUAUGAACCGUUAUAACCGGCGAUUUCCGAAUGGGGAAACCCAGUGUGUUUCGACACACUAUCAUUAACUGAAUCCAUAGGUUAAUGAGGCGAACCGGGGGAACUGAAACAUCUAAGUACCCCGAGGAAAAGAAAUCAACCGAGAUUCCCCCAGUAGCGGCGAGCGAACGGGGAGCAGCCCAGAGCCUGAAUCAGUGUGUGUGUUAGUGGAAGCGUCUGGAAAGGCGCGCGAUACAGGGUGACAGCCCCGUACACAAAAAUGCACAUGCUGUGAGCUCGAUGAGUAGGGCGGGACACGUGGUAUCCUGUCUGAAUAUGGGGGGACCAUCCUCCAAGGCUAAAUACUCCUGACUGACCGAUAGUGAACCAGUACCGUGAGGGAAAGGCGAAAAGAACCCCGGCGAGGGGAGUGAAAAAGAACCUGAAACCGUGUACGUACAAGCAGUGGGAGCACGCUUCGGCGUGUGACUGCGUACCUUUUGUAUAAUGGGUCAGCGACUUAUAUUCUGUAGCAAGGUUAACCGAAUAGGGGAGCCGAAGGGAAACCGAGUCUUAACUGGGCGUUAAGUUGCAGGGUAUAGACCCGAAACCCGGUGAUCUAGCCAUGGGCAGGUUGAAGGUUGGGUAACACUAACUGGAGGACCGAACCGACUAAUGUUGAAAAAUUAGCGGAUGACUUGUGGCUGGGGGUGAAAGGCCAAUCAAACCGGGAGAUAGCUGGUUCUCCCCGAAAGCUAUUUAGGUAGCGCCUCGUGAAUUCAUCUCCGGGGGUAGAGCACUGUUUCGGCAAGGGGGUCAUCCCGACUUACCAACCCGAUGCAAACUGCGAAUACCGGAGAAUGUUAUCACGGGAGACACACGGCGGGUGCUAACGUCCGUCGUGAAGAGGGAAACAACCCAGACCGCCAGCUAAGGUCCCAAAGUCAUGGUUAAGUGGGAAACGAUGUGGGAAGGCCCAGACAGCCAGGAUGUGGCUUAGAAGCAGCCAUCAUUUAAAGAAAGCGUAAUAGCUCACUGGUCGAGUCGGCCUGCGCGGAAGAUGUAACGGGGCUAAACCAUGCACCGAAGCUGCGGCAGCGACGCUUAUGCGUUGUUGGGUAGGGGAGCGUUCUGUAAGCCUGCGAAGGUGUGCUGUGAGGCAUGCUGGAGGUAUCAGAAGUGCGAAUGCUGACAUAAGUAACGAUAAAGCGGGUGAAAAGCCCGCUCGCCGGAAGACCAAGGGUUCCUGUCCAACGUUAAUCGGGGCAGGGUGAGUCGACCCCUAAGGCGAGGCCGAAAGGCGUAGUCGAUGGGAAACAGGUUAAUAUUCCUGUACUUGGUGUUACUGCGAAGGGGGGACGGAGAAGGCUAUGUUGGCCGGGCGACGGUUGUCCCGGUUUAAGCGUGUAGGCUGGUUUUCCAGGCAAAUCCGGAAAAUCAAGGCUGAGGCGUGAUGACGAGGCACUACGGUGCUGAAGCAACAAAUGCCCUGCUUCCAGGAAAAGCCUCUAAGCAUCAGGUAACAUCAAAUCGUACCCCAAACCGACACAGGUGGUCAGGUAGAGAAUACCAAGGCGCUUGAGAGAACUCGGGUGAAGGAACUAGGCAAAAUGGUGCCGUAACUUCGGGAGAAGGCACGCUGAUAUGUAGGUGAGGUCCCUCGCGGAUGGAGCUGAAAUCAGUCGAAGAUACCAGCUGGCUGCAACUGUUUAUUAAAAACACAGCACUGUGCAAACACGAAAGUGGACGUAUACGGUGUGACGCCUGCCCGGUGCCGGAAGGUUAAUUGAUGGGGUUAGCGCAAGCGAAGCUCUUGAUCGAAGCCCCGGUAAACGGCGGCCGUAACUAUAACGGUCCUAAGGUAGCGAAAUUCCUUGUCGGGUAAGUUCCGACCUGCACGAAUGGCGUAAUGAUGGCCAGGCUGUCUCCACCCGAGACUCAGUGAAAUUGAACUCGCUGUGAAGAUGCAGUGUACCCGCGGCAAGACGGAAAGACCCCGUGAACCUUUACUAUAGCUUGACACUGAACAUUGAGCCUUGAUGUGUAGGAUAGGUGGGAGGCUUAGAAGUAUGGACGCCAGUCUGCAUGGAGCCGACCUUGAAAUACCACCCUUUAAUGUUUGAUGUUCUAACGUUGACCCGUAAUCCGGGUUGCGGACAGUGUCUGGUGGGUAGUUUGACUGGGGCGGUCUCCUCCUAAAGAGUAACGGAGGAGCACGAAGGUUGGCUAAUCCUGGUCGGACAUCAGGAGGUUAGUGCAAUGGCAUAAGCCAGCUUGACUGCGAGCGUGACGGCGCGAGCAGGUGCGAAAGCAGGUCAUAGUGAUCCGGUGGUUCUGAAUGGAAGGGCCAUCGCUCAACGGAUAAAAGGUACUCCGGGGAUAACAGGCUGAUACCGCCCAAGAGUUCAUAUCGACGGCGGUGUUUGGCACCUCGAUGUCGGCUCAUCACAUCCUGGGGCUGAAGUAGGUCCCAAGGGUAUGGCUGUUCGCCAUUUAAAGUGGUACGCGAGCUGGGUUUAGAACGUCGUGAGACAGUUCGGUCCCUAUCUGCCGUGGGCGCUGGAGAACUGAGGGGGGCUGCUCCUAGUACGAGAGGACCGGAGUGGACGCAUCACUGGUGUUCGGGUUGUCAUGCCAAUGGCACUGCCCGGUAGCUAAAUGCGGAAGAGAUAAGUGCUGAAAGCAUCUAAGCACGAAACUUGCCCCGAGAUGAGUUCUCCCUGACCCUUUAAGGGUCCUGAAGGAACGUUGAAGACGACGACGUUGAUAGGCCGGGUGUGUAAGCGCAGCGAUGCGUUGAGCUAACCGGUACUAAUGAACCGUGAGGCUUAACCUU